GCGUGAGUGAUGAAGGUUUUCGGAUCGUAAAACUCUGUUGUUAAAGAAGAACAAGUGUUAGAGUAACUGUUAACACUUUGACGGUAUUUAACCAGAAAGCCACGGCUAACUACGUGCCAGCAGCCGCGGUAAUACGUAGGUGGCAAGCGUUGUCCGGAUUUAUUGGGCGUAAAGCGAGCGCAGGCGGUUUUGUAAGUCUGCUGUGAAAGCCCUCAGCUCAACUGAGGAAGUGCAGUGGAAACUACAAAACUUGAGUACAGAAGAGGAAAGUGGAACUCCAUGUGUAGCGGUGAAAUGCGUAGAUAUAUGGAAGAACACCAGUGGCGAAGGCGGCUUUCUGGUCUGUUACUGACGCUGAGGCUCGAAAGCAUGGGUAGCGAACAGGAUUAGAUACCCUGGUAGUCCAUGCCGUAAACGAUGAAUACUAGGUGUUGGAGGGUUUCCGCCCUUCAGUGCCGCAGCUAACGCAUUAAGUAUUCCGCCUGGGGAGUACGACCGCAAGGUUGAAACUCAAAGGAAUUGACGGGGGCCCGCACAAGUGGUGGAGCAUGUGGUUUAAUUCGAUGCUACGCGAAGAACCUUACCAGCUCUUGACAUCUUCUGCCAACCCAAGAGAUUGGGCGUUCCCUUCGGGGACAGAAUGACAGGUGGUGCAUGGUUGUCGUCAGCUCGUGUCGUGAGAUGUUGGGUUAAGUCCCGCAACGAGCGCAACCCUUAUUAUUAGUUGCCAGCAUUUAGUUGGGCACUCUAGUGAGACUGCCGGUGAUAAACCGGAGGAAGGUGGGGACGACGUCAAAUCAUCAUGCCCCUUAUGAGCUGGGCUACACACGUGCUACAAUGGAUGGUACAACGAGUCGCGAAACCGCGAGGUCAAGCUAAUCUCUUAAAGCCAUUCUCAGUUCGGAUUGCAGGCUGCAACUCGCCUGCAUGAAGUUGGAAUCACUAGUAAUCGUGGAUCAGCAUGCCACGGUGAAUACGUUCCCGGGCCUUGUACACACCGCCCGUCACACCAUGAGAGUUUGUAACACCCAAAGACGA
rnacentral:rRNA from 2 species